rnacentral:rRNA from 1 species
GAUGAACGCUGGCGGCGUGCCUAAUACAUGCAAGUCGAGCGAAUGGAUUAAGAGCUUGCUCUUAUGAAGUUAGCGGCGGACGGGUGAGUAACACGUGGGUAACCUGCCCAUAAGACUGGGAUAACUCCGGGAAACCGGGGCUAAUACCGGAUAACAUUUUGAACCGCAUGGUUCGAAAUUGAAAGGCGGCUUCGGCCGUCACUUAUGGAUGGACCCGCGUCGCAUUAGCUAGUUGGUGAGGUAACGGCUCACCAAGGCAACGAUGCGUAGCCGACCUGAGAGGGUGAUCGGCCACACUGGGACUGAGACACGGCCCAGACUCCUACGGGAGGCAGCAGUAGGGAAUCUUCCGCAAUGGACGAAAGUCUGACGGAGCAACGCCGCGUGAGUGAUGAAGGCUUUCGGGUCGUAAAACUCUGUUGUUAGGGAAGAACAAGUGCUAGUUGAAUAAGCUGGCACCUUGACGGUACCUAACCAGAAAGCCACGACUAACUACAUGCCAGCCGCCGCCGUAA